UUUAACUUGAAAAUCACGCAUUUCUCUUCAAGAAUCCCUCAUUUAUCCCGAAAAUCACGCAUUUUCUCUACAAAAAUCUCCCACGUAACCUGAAAAUCACACAUUUAAUGCAAACAUCAGGCAUUUUCUCUUAGAGAUGCCGCGAAUUUAACUAUUGUAAUGUAUGUAUAUGAACAGAAAAUGAAGAUGUAGGCAUAAAUUCAUGAUUUUUAUUUCAAUCUUGAAUCCUAUUUCCACAUUCCAUUAUCAUAAGUGAAAGCAUAAUUGCGUACUCUUUGUUGCUCAGAGCUGUGUGUUACACAAGAGCAGUAAAAUGCAUGCAGUUUCUUCCUCUCUUUUUCCAUAUGCCUGUUUGCUCUGUUUUCCUACUGACACAUCUAUUCAUUUACAUGUUGCAAAUAUAAACUGAAUUAUUGUGAUCCAGGAUG
rnacentral:lncRNA from 7 species